rnacentral:rRNA from 1 species
UACGUAGGGGGCAAGCGUUGUCCGGAAUCAUUGGGCGUAAAGCGCGCGUAGGCGGCCCGGUAAGUCCGCUGUGAAAGUCAAAGGCUCAACCUUUGAAUGUCAGCGGAUACUGCCGGGCUAGAGUCCGGAAGAGGCGAGUGGAACUCCUGGUGUAGCGGUGGAAUGCGCAGAUAUCAGGAGGAACACCUAUUGCGAAGGCAGCUCGCUGGGACGUAACUGACGCUGAGACGCGAAAGCGUGGGGAGCAAACAGG